GACGAACGCUGGCGGCGUGCCUAACACAUGCAAGUCGAGCGGAAAUAUUCUGAAGAGUAAUCGGAAGGAUAUUUUAGCGGCGGACGGGUGAGUAACACGUGGGCAACCUGCCCUGUACAGGGGGAUAACACUGGGAAACUAGUGCUAAUACCGCAUGAUACGCGAAGAUGGCAUCAUUUUUGCGUCAAAGGAGAAAUCCGGUACAGGAUGGGCCCGCGUCCGAUUAGCUAGUUGGUGAGGUAAUGGCUCACCAAGGCGACGAUCGGUAGCCGGAUUGAGAGGUUGAACGGUCACAUUGGGACUGAGACACGGCCCAGACUCCUACGGGAGGCAGCAGUGGGGAAUAUUGCACAAUGGGGGAAACCCUGAUGCAGCGACGCCGCGUGAAGGAGAAGGUCUUCGGAUUGUAAACUUCUUUGAUUGGGGACGAAAUAUGACGGUACCCAAGGAACAAGCCAACGGCUAACUACGUG
rnacentral:rRNA from 1 species